UCGGCGUACAUCCAGCCCCCGUCACCAACCGGCCGAUGCACCUGGUUUCCUGCAAAUGUGAGCCCCGUGGAAGUAUUACAGGAGUCUGUGAUGAUGAAGCCUUCAACUUUGCUAUUUCAUGGUCCCAUCCUGGCAGCCCUCAGGAACGGCCAAGGAGUUGCGGUGUGAUGACGGUGUCAGCUGCCGAGCAGGCCUGAAGCGUGCGGCCCGAGGAGCUGUGCCUUCACAGGAGAACGACUCAGAGACAACAGCCUGGUGUCAGCAGGGACUUCCCAGACAGCGGGUCCGCUUUCUUUCCACCCAGCACGGAUCGGCACGCCCACCUGUCCGAGAGAUAAGUAGAGGGCUACGACCCACAGAGGGGAUGAAAGCGGGGUCUGGGUCACAACUCACAGGGAGGGGAUUUCGAUUUGUCUUUGGAGACAAGGAUGUCCAAGCAGUGCCCCCUUAGGCCCUGUAAAGGGAAAGUAUCGCUUUUGAUCAGAGUGCCAAGGUGCACAGGGCAGAGCAGGUCCGGUGUGUAUCGUGUCACUUGUCUAUCGUGCAUUCUGUGUUUUUUGUAUAUGUCAUGUCUAUUACCUCAGGCCUUUGAGGGGCCUAUCAGAAACCAUUCUUGGCAUCUGUGAUCCGCGUUCUUUAUUCUGGCACCAAUGCCAUAGAACUUUUGACUUAGGAGCUCAGACUGCCAUCAGACUCGCAUCUCUUCUUUAGAAGCAUCCAGUCAGAUGUCUUCUCAGGUCUUGUCCCGAGCUGUACGGGAAGCCGCUCCCUGCAAGGGAUCCAUUACGGCAGGUUAGGACUUGUCAGAAUGAGAUCUCUAGGCAGAGGAUUCUGACCGUAGGAUUCCCAGGCAUCCAUCUUGGCAGUUCUUGAGAUAAAUCAUUCAGUUAGCAUCUUCUUCCUCCAGGGUUCCCUGGGCCUCAUCAGCUCUCCAUCGGUCUCACCUCGGUCAUCUCAUUCUUCAUUCUCUCAGUCCUUGCAGUCAUUUUCCUUGCCAAGAGAUUUCUGUGUGUGUUGUGUCCCCCUUGUUCGUCACGGGUGUCUGCACGCAUUUGUGCCGGAGCUGCUCUGCCCUGCCGCAUAGCCUGGUGCAAUAGGGGAAGUCCCGGGGCCUUGUAGUUGGUAAUGUGGGGUGUGGUUGGACUCUAGAUGGCAUUUGUAGAUGGACACAAGAUGUUUGCAGCUGGGAAGUUAUCCUGGAGACCUUUGACGUUUGUUCUUACUUGUUUUUCAGAUUCAUCUGGAUAAUAUCUGUGCACGAGGGCCCCAUCCUGGGUCUGGGAGUCCCGCGGAGCAGGUCCGUCACUGUUUGUCUCUGCAGCAGAAGUGUAAAUGGUGACUCUGUUACAGCGCUGUUCUUUGUCUUUUUCGGAAGUCAAGGCAGAGAGCCACAGUCAAGGCCAAGUAGGCAAGGUGGUCCACUUGCCAUCUCUCCUGGCCGAGCAUGCCCGAUGUCAGGUGCUGUCACCGCUCCAGGCAUGCCAAAGAACAGAGGAGAGCAGGUAUCCUUUGAGCAGCCUCUGGAGUAGAAUCAGGAUUUGAGGUACCCGGAGGAGGUUUGCAGCCAAAGUUUGGAAACGGCAGCACCGAAGCAAACACGGAGAACGUCCCGACGUCCACGUACAACCGACGAUGGAUUUUGUCCGCUCGUCUUCCAAAAGCUAAGUGUCGCGGCCAGUAGUUGGGAGAAGGGGAAAAACCUUUACUAUCACAGGGGGCAAUUUGAUGUCAGUUUAGCGCAGAGGUCUGUAGCGGGACGGGCUCUCUGGAAGCAAAGGGAGAGGGUUUCUCCUCAGCCUCACCACAGCCUCUGCCGGGCAGGGCAGUUCCGACCCAUCUCCACAUUGUCGUAAACUUUGCGUCGUCAGCCUUCUUCAACUCGACAUCGUCACGGAUCUUUCGCCCGAGGAGUUCGCCUUCAGGUCCGGAGCUACGGCCACGGUCAAUCGGCGGUCUCCGCUUCCUUCUCUAGGCCCACCGAGCCUCUCGAGCGUCCUCUUAACCGCUUCGGUGCUAACUUCUUUUAACGAGUUACAUUUCAUCAUUACAUCCUAUCGUCAUACGGCUUUCUUUCCUUUUGCAUCAUCAGCCCCCGGCUCAUCUUGCGCUAGCCAUCUCGGG